GAAUGCCUCAUUAAAUCAGUUAUCGUUUAUUUGAUAGUACCUUACUACAUGGAUAACCGUGGUAAUUCUAGAGCUAAUACAUGCUAAAAAUCCCGACUUCGGAAGGGAUGUAUUUAUUAGAUUAAAAACCAAUGCCCUUCGGGGCUCUCUGGUGAUUCAUAAUAACUUCUCGAAUCGCACGGCCUUGCGCCGGCGAUGGUUCAUUCAAAUUUCUGCCCUAUCAACUUUCGACGGCUGGGUCUUGGCCAGCCGUGGUGACAACGGGUAACGGAGGGUUAGGGCUCGACCCCGGAGAAGGAGCCUGAGAAACGGCUACUACAUCCAAGGAAGGCAGCAGGCGCGCAAAUUACCCAAUCCCGACACGGGGAGGUAGUGACAAUAAAUACUGAUACAGGGCUCUUUCGGGUCUUGUAAUUGGAAUGAGUACAAUUUAAAUCCCUUAACGAGGAACAAUUGGAGGGCAAGUCUGGUGCCAGCAGCCGCGGUAAUUCCAGCUCCAAUAGCGUAUAUUAAAGUUGUUGAGGUUAAAAAGCUCGUAGUUGAACCUUGGGCCUAGCCGGCCGGUCCGCCUCACCGCGUGCACUGGCUCGGCUGGGUCUUUCCUUCUGGAGAACCGCAUGCCCUUCACUGGGUGUGCCGGGGAACCAGGACUUUUACUCUGAACAAAUUAGAUCGCUUAAAGAAGGCCUAUGCUCGAAUACAUUAGCAUGGAAUAAU
rnacentral:rRNA from 1 species